rnacentral:rRNA from 1 species
GUGGGGAAUAUUGGUCAAUGGGGGAAACCCUGAACCAGCAACGCCGCGUGAAGGAAGAAGGCUUUCGGGUUGUAAACUUCUUUGACAGGGGACGAAACAAAUGACGGUACCCUGAAAACAAGCCACGGCUAACUACGUGCCAGCAGCCGCGGUAAUACGUAGGUGGCAAGCGUUGUCCGGAUUUACUGGGUGUAAAGGGCGUGUAGGCGGGACGGUAAGUCAGAUGUGAAAUGUAGGGUCUCAACCCCUGAACUGCAAUUGAAACUAUCGUUCUGGAGUGAUGGAGAGGCAGGCUGAAUGCCGUGUGUAGCGGUGAAAUGCGUAGAUAUACGGAGGAACACCAGUGGCGAAGGCGGCCUGCUGGAAAUUAACUGACGCUGAGGCGCGAAGCCGUGGGGAGCAAACAGGAUUAGAUGCCCGUGUAGUCC